GGCCUCUUAGCUCAGUUGGCUAGAGCGUUAGCCUUCCCCUUGCUGGCGUGUAUUCGAAUCCCACUGAGGCCG
rnacentral:tRNA from 1 species